rnacentral:rRNA from 1 species
AUUGAACGCUGGCGGAAUGCUUUACACAUGCAAGUCGAACGGCAGCACGGACUUCGGUCUGGUGGCGAGUGGCGAACGGGUGAGUAAUGUAUCGGAACGUGCCCAGUCGUGGGGGAUAACGUAGUGAAAAUUACGCUAAUACCGCAUACGAUCUAUGGAGGAAAGCGGGGGAUCGCAAGACCUCGCGCGAUUGGAGCGGCCGAUAUCAGAUUAGGUAGUCGGUGGGGUAAAGGCCCACCAAGCCAACGAUCUGUAGCUGGUCUGAGAGGACGACCAGCCACACUGGAACUGAGACACGGUCCAGACUCCUACGGGAGGCAGCAGUGGGGAAUUUUGGACAAUGGGCGAAAGCCUGAUCCAGCCAUUCCGCGUGCAGGAUGAAGGCCCUCGGGUUGUAAACUGCUUUUGUACAGAACGAAAAGGUUUCUACUAAUACUAGGAGCUCAUGACGGUACUGUAAGAAUAAGCACCGGCUAACUACGUGCCAGCCGCCGCGGUAA